AUGGCAUGUUGAGGACAAUCGGCGCAAAGUUUUUUGAAUCUCUCCCAAGCUAGGUAAAAAAUCUCAUCCUUGCGUUGUCGAAAACUUGUAAUCCUUUGUCUCUCCUU
rfam:Corchorus olitorius cultivar O-4 contig17002, whole genome shotgun sequence.